rnacentral:rRNA from 1 species
CCCUUAGAGGUUCUGGGCCGCACGCGCGCUACACUGAUGCAUUCAACGAGCCUAUCCUUGACCGACAGGUCCGGGUAAUCUUUGAAUCUGCAUCGUGACGGGGAUAGAUUAUUGCAAUUAUUAAUCUUCAACGAGGAAUGCCUAGUAGGCGCAAGUCAUCAGCUUGCGUCGAUUACGUCCUUGCCCUUUGUACACACCGCCCGUCGCUCCUACCGAUUGGGUGUGCUGGUGAAAUGUUCGGAUCGGCCGUUUGUCGCGGUUUCCGCGUCAUGUGGCUGAGAAGUUCAUUAAACCCUCCCACCUAGAGGAAGGAGAAGUCGUAACA